CACCCUUUAAAGAGUGCGUAAUAGCUCACUAGUCGAGUGACACUGCGCCGAAGAUGUACCGGGGCUAAACACAAUACCGAAGCUGCGGACUUGCAUGUAAGUGCAAGUGGUAGGGGAGCGUUCUAAGGGCUGUGAAGGUAGACCGUAAGGACUGCUGGAGCGCUUAGAAGUGAGAAUGCCGGUGUGAGUAACGAAAAUUGGGUGAGAAUCCCAUUCACCGUUUGACUAAGGGUUCCUGGGUAAAGUUCGUCUUCCCAGGGUAAGUCAGGACCUAAGAUGAGGCUGAAAAGCGUAGUCGAUGGACAACAGGUUGAUAUUCCUGUACCACCUAUAUGACUGAAGGAGUGACGGAGAAAGCUAGUGAGAGCCAGUUAAUGGAUUCUGGUCUAAGUGCGUAGGCUAGUAUGUUGGCAAAUCCGCAAUACUAUAACAGCUGAAACAUGAUGGGGAAGAGAGUCUUCGGACAAUCGAACUUUCAUGAUGCUAUGCUUCCAAGAAAAGCUUCUAGGGUUAAUCGUAUAGGUGCCUGUACCGACAACCGACACAGGUGGUCAAGGAGAGUAUCCUAAGGUGAGCGAGAGAACUAUGGUUAAGGAACUCGGCAAAAUGACCCCGUAACUUCGGGAGAAGGGGUGGUCUAGCGAUAGACCCGCAGUGAAUAGGCCCAGGCAACUGUUUACCAAAAACACAGGUCUCUGCUAACACGUAAGUGGAUGUAUAGGGGCUGACGCCUGCCCAGUGCUGGAAGGUUAAAGAGAUUAGUUAGUAUGACGUAAGUCGAUAAUACGAAGCUUUGAACUGAAGCCCCAGUGAACGGCGGCCGUAACUAUAACGGUCCUAAGGUAGCGAAAUUCCUUGUCAGGUAAGUUCUGACCCGCACGAAAGGCGUAAUGAUCUGGGUACUGUCUCAACCAUAGACUCGGUGAAAUCUUAAUACCUGUGAAAAUGCAGGUUACCCGCGACUGGACGGAGAGACCCCGUGGAGCUUUACUGUAGCUUGAUAUUGGAAUUCGGUAAACUAUGUAGAGCAUAGGUGGGAGACUAUGAGAUUAAGGCGCCAGCCUUAAAGGAGUCACCAUUGGAAUACCACCCUUAGUUUAUUGGAUUUCUAACCUAGGACCAUAAUCUGGUUCAGGGACAGUGUCUGGUGGGCAGUUUGACUGGGGCGGUCGCCUCCUAAAGAGUAACGGAGGCGUUCAAAGGUUCCCUCAGAAUGGUUGGAAAUCAUUCAAAGAGCAUAAAGGUAUAAAGGGAGCUUGACUGCAAGACCUACAAGUCAAGCAGGUGCGAAAGCAGGACUUAGUGAUCAGGCGAUUCAGAAUGGAAUGGUCGUCGCUUAACGGAUAAAAGUUACCCCGGGGAUAACAGGCUGAUACCACCCAAUAGUUCACAUAGACGGUGGUGUUUGGCACCUCGAUGUCGGCUCGUCAUAUCCUGGAGGUGGAGUCGCUUCCAAGGGUUGGGCUGUUCGCCCAUUAAAGUGGCACGCGAGCUGGGUUCAGAACGUCGUGAGACAGUUCGGUCCCUAUCCGUCGUGGGCGCAGGAAAAUUGAGGAGAGCUAUCCUUAGUACGAGAGGACCGGGAUGGACAUACCUCUGGUGUAUCUGUUGUAACGCCAGUUGCAGUGCAGAGUAGCUAUGUAUGGAAUCGAUAACCGCUGAAAGCAUCUAAGCGGGAAGCGAACUUCAAGAUGAAUUUUCCCAUAUUUUUAUAAUAGUAAGAUCCCUGAAAGACUAUCAGGUUGAUAGGCUGGAGAUGGAAGUGUAGUGAUACAUUGAGUUGACCAGUACUAAUAGAUCGAGGAUUUAACCAU
rnacentral:rRNA from 1 species